rnacentral:snRNA from 1 species
UUUCAGUGUUUAUUGCAUAUCA